rnacentral:rRNA from 1 species
UACAGAGGGGGCAAGCGUUGUUCGGAAUUACUGGGCGUAAAGGGCGGGUAGGCGGCCACCGCAAGUCAGUUGUGAAAUCUCUGGGCUUAACCCAGAAAGGUCAACUGAUACUGCGGGGCUAGAGUGCAGAAGGGGCAACUGGAAUUCUCGGUGUAGCGGUGAAAUGCGUAGAUAUCGAGAGGAACACCUGCGGCGAAGGCGGGUUGCUGGGCUGACACUGACGCUGAACUGCGAAAGCUAGGGGAGCGAACGGG